rnacentral:rRNA from 1 species
CCUACGGGAGGCUGCAGUAGGGAAUAUUGCUCAAUGGGGGAAACCCUGAAGCAGCAACGCUGCGUGGAGGAUGAAGGUUUUCGGAUUGUAAACUCCUUUUGUUAGAGAAGAUAAUGACGGUAUCUAACGAAUAAGCACCGGCUAACUCCGUGCAAGCAGCCGCGGUAAUACGGAGGGUGCAAGCGUUACUCGGAAUCACUGGGCGUAAAGAGAGCGUAGGCGGGAUAGCAAGUCAGAUGUGAAAUCCUAUGGCUUAACCAUAGAACUGCAUUUGAAACUGUUAUUCUAGAGUAUGUGAGAGGUAGGUGGAAUUCUUGGUGUAGGGGUAAAAUCCGUAGAGAUCAAGAGGAAUACUCAUUGCGAAGGCGACCUGCUAGAACAUAACUGACGCUGAUGCGCGAAAGCGUGGGGAGCAAACAGGAUUAGAUACCCUUGUAGUC